rnacentral:tRNA from 1 species
GCCCUGGUGGCAGAAAUGGUUAAGCACUUGACUGCUAACCAAAAGGUUGGUGGUUCAAACCUACCCAACAGCU